CAGAGCACCAUACAGAGCAGUGCAAGCUGGAGCUGAGGGAGCUGCCCUGGGAUUAAAUUCAUCACGGAGAACCAACUUGAAGCAGUUUAUGGGUCGAGGUCUGAGUUCAAAGCAGCCCCCGCUGUCCUUUUAGUCCCUGAGUCCCAGUGGAGGUCAUAGAAUCACGGGAUGGUUGGAGUUGGAAGGGACCCCAAAGGCCAUCUGAUGCCAGCCCUGCACUGAGCAGGGACACCCACAGCUCCAGCAGUGCUCACAGCCCAUCCCCUGACCUCGGCUGUCUGCAGGGAUGGGGCACCACCACCUCUUUGUGCAACCUGUGAUGGUGAUGCUUUGUGCAGGGAGCAGAGCAGGUUGGCACAGCACUCUUCAGGCCUGAUGUGCUGAGAGGGGGGGAAAAAAAAAAUCCAGGAAAAACUAGCUCCUUUAAUUCUGCCCGGUGAUCCCUCAUAGGGAUUUCAUGAUGCACAGUUUGUAUAGUAGGAACCAACGCAUAAGAACAACAUGUGACUUUUUCACAGCUGCAUAAAAACUCAGAUCUGGGCCGAAGAUCAGCUUCUGAGCACAUCUCCUGUCACUGCGUCCUUUCCCGAGCAUUUUUCACGCUGCCCAUUGGGACGAAUUGCAUCAGAAUAGGUGGUUUCAGCAGCACGACUCUGCCAUCUGCUCAGGGUUUCCAAGGACUGGCGGUGUGGUGGAGCUGGCUGCUGGAUGAGGCAGGACGGGCCGGGGCUGCUCUGAUGUUGGUGCCUCUUUCCAGAAAGGAGUAGAGAGCGUGGCAAGAGGGAAAGGAGGGUUUGCUGAGAAUAAAUUUGACACAGUGGAACAAAGUGUUCCCCUUAAAUGUGUUCUACAGCCAGAAUAGCAGCAGCACUUCUGCCAAGUGAGGGGCCUGCUGCAAGAACAGUUUGGCAAGGGGAAGAUAUAGCCAAAUUUGAGUGAAGCAGCCUGAUGGUGGGUGGCUGGGUUAUGCAAUUUUACUGAUAUUCGGCAUCCAUUAUCUCUUGCAAAGCUUCUCUGAAUGAAACAAAAUGGUAGAGCAGAUGACUGUUGUGCAUUUAAACACUUCCAUUCCAG
ensembl:lncRNA